rnacentral:rRNA from 1 species
UACGUAGGGGGCAAGCGUUGUUCGGAAUUACUGGGCGUAAAGGGCUCGUAGGCGGCCAACUAAGUCGGAUGUGAAAUCCCCAAGCUUAACUUGGGAACUGCAUCCGAUACUGGAUGGCUUGAAUCCGGGAGAGGGAUGCAGAAUUCCAGGUGUAGCGGUGAAAUGUGUAGAAAUCGGGAGGAACACCGGUGGCGAAGGCGGGUCUCUGGGCAAUUCCUGACGCUGAGGCGCGAAAGCCAGGGGAGCAAACGGG